GCCCUCUGUUCCCACCCCAGGCCCCCCUCCUGGGAUCUUUGCAGGUGGUACCUGCUGUGUGCUGGAGCAUCCCGGACUCCUCCAUGGUGCUGACCACAUCCGAGCAGCCCUGGCAUGAGCAGCAGAGUGGAGGUGGCACAGAGGAGACCAGGGAAUGUGCUCUGGCACAGAGAAAGCUUCCCUGUGUUCUGGAGAAGUGGAGGCAAGGAUCCUGCCUCACAGCCCUCCUCUGCAUCAGCCUCCCAGGCAGGAGCUGUGGCUCCCACGUGGAGGAAUCCCAGUGAUGGAUCACUGCUGGCAGUGGAGAACUCGUCUAUGCCCCAGGUCUGUUCAGGGUCUGGCAGGAGCCAAGGGACAGCAGAGCCCCCACAACCCCCAGCUCAUCUUCUCCAUCCCUGCAGCAGCAAGGCACGACAGAUCCUUCCUCUGACCAUUUAAAGUCUUUCAGGAUGUGAGGAUGACAGUUGCAGCUUCAGUCCCGGGUCGCUGCUGACCCUCUGCACACCCGGGGGUCCCACAUUCCACAGGAAUCUCUGGCUCUGGGAUAUUUGUGACAGGAGGAGGAGAAGGAGGUGGUGGCUGCUGCAGCGAGAGCAACGGGGCCGCUGAGAAGCAGAGGCUGUGAGCUGGUAUUAACAGUGGGGCCAAUUAAGGAGACCAGGAAUUAAAUCAGUCUGAUACCUGUUUGGGCUCUUCCAGCUUCUCUCCUGCAUGGGCUGCUGCUCCAGAGCACAGGAGAGUGUCUGCCCAGAGCCUCUGUCCAGGAACAGCCCUGGGCACCCUGUGGUGGCAGGAAUGCUCUGCCCAUGGGCACAGGCCAGCACAGCCAGGGCAGGAGGUCUGGGGAAGAAUUUUGUGAAGAAACCCCUGUUUCUUGAUUGUCUCCUCCCAGCUGUUCACCAUGUGAUGAUUCCAGCUGCCUGCCAGGGGCAAAGCCACCGAUGGAUGUACAAAUAUCCAGCUUUGCUCUGGCCUUUCCUGUGGAUGCUCCAAGGAACCUUCAGACGGGACUGAAGCAGAGGACACUCUGGAAGGCAAAUCCCUGCUCUGCAUGUGAGAGCAAACCAGAGCCCUGUGUGGGGUUUUCUCGAGAUUUAGCAAGAAUCCUGAUAAGAAACUCUGGCUCCAGUGCUGUCAGUCCAGCUCCCCCAGCUCCAGGGCUUUGCUCCUCGUCUCCCUUAAGCCAGAGGGCUCAGCUCCAUGGCUUGACUGACACGAAGCGUUCCAGCAUCAGAGACUGAGAGACAAACGAGCAAUUUGCCGAG